GAGGAUAUAGCUAAGUUGGUAGAGUGCUUGCCUUGCAUGCACAAAGCCCUGGGUUCAAUCCCCAGCACCCUCC
rfam:Ictidomys tridecemlineatus contig107276, whole genome shotgun sequence.